GAUGAAGAACGCAGCGAAAUGCGAUACUUGGUGUGAAUUGCAGAAUCCCGUGAACCAUCGAGUCUUUGAACGCAAGUUGCGCCCGAAGCCACUAGGCCGAGGGCACGCCUGCCUGGGCGUCACACGUCGUUGCCCCCCCAUCUACUCCUUCGGGAUUGCGGGGGGGCGGAUGAUGGCCUCCCGUGCGCCUAGCCGCGCGGUUGGCAUAAAUACCAAGUCCUCGGCGACGCACGCCACGACAAUCGGUGGUUGCGAAACCUCGGUUGCCCGUCGUGUGCGUUCGUCGCGCAUCGAGGGCUCGAAAAAAUGCUCGGCUUCGGCUCGGCUUUCAACGCGACCCCAGGUCAGGCGGGGUUACCCGCUGAAUUUAAGAAUAUCAAUAAGCGGAGGA
rnacentral:misc_RNA from 1 species